CGCGGUGUGGAGCAGUUGGUAGCUCGUCGGGCUCAUAACCCGAAGGUCACAGGUUCGAGUCCUGUCACCGCAA
rnacentral:tRNA from 1 species